CGGAUUGAGAGAGAUGCGAAAAAGCUAAAGAAAGUGGAGAAGUAUGCAAAAUUGAAUGGUGGGUAUUAUUAAAUAGAGAAAAGGGUGUAUUGUAAAGGGAAAGAAUUGGGGAAUUAAAUAGAGAUAUUGAAUAAAAUCUGAGACGGCAUUAGCUGCAAAAGCAGAGACAGUUAGAGGAGGAGAAGCAAGAGUGACAGAAAGCGAGGUAAAUACAGGUUUUGGAAGAUGUGGGUAGUGUUGGUUUUUGCAGGUGCAAGCAAUUAAGAGCUUCACGUGUCAGGAGGC
rnacentral:misc_RNA from 1 species